rfam:Frankia sp. BMG5.36 contig_142, whole genome shotgun sequence.
GGAGGUAGGUCCUCCGGGGUCGCCCUGCAGGGGGAGGUCUCAAACCACCGCAAGCUGCGUCGGUUAAGUGCCGGGGUGGUGAGCGUUGCGGGAAAAGGCGCGACGUGAUCGCGUCAGGU